AACGAACGCUGGCGGCAGGCUUAACACAUGCAAGUCGAACGAUCUCUUCGGAGGUAGCGGCAGACGGGUGAGUAACACGUGGGAACGUACCUUUCAGUCAGGAAUAACUCAUGGAAACGUGAGCUAAUACCCGAUACGCCCUUUUGGGGAAAGAUUUAUCGCUGAAAGAUCGGCCCGCGUCUGAUUAGCUAGUUGGUGGGGUAAUGGCCUACCAAGGCGACGAUCAGUAGCUGGUCUGAGAGGAUGAUCAGCCACACUGGGACUGGGACACGGCCCAGACUCCUACGGGAGGCAGCAGUGGGGAAUAUUGGACAAUGGGCGCAAGCCUGAUCCAGCCAUGCCGCGUGAGUGAUGACGGCCUUAGGGUUGUAAAGCUCUUUCGACGGGGACGAUAAUGACGGUACCCGUAGAAGAAGCCCCGGCUAACUUCGUGCCAGCCGCCGCAGUAA
rnacentral:rRNA from 1 species